rnacentral:rRNA from 1 species
UACGAAGGGGGCUAGCGUUGUUCGGAAUUACUGGGCGUAAAGCGCACGUAGGCGGAUAUUUAAGUCAGGGGUGAAAUCCCAGAGCUCAACUCUGGAACUGCCUUUGAUACUGGGUAUCUCGAGUAUGGAAGAGGUGAGUGGAAUUCCGAGUGUAGAGGUGAAAUUCGUAGAUAUUCGGAGGAACACCAGUGGCGAAGGCGGUCUCCUGGAGCAGACUUGACGCUGAGGCGCGAAAGCUGGGGGAGCGAACGGG